rnacentral:rRNA from 1 species
CGAACGGGUGCGUAACACGUGGAUAACCUUCCUUCAGGUGGGGAAUAACCCAGUGAAAACUGGGCUAAUACCGCAUAACAUGACGAUGGCACAUGCUGUUGUCUUCAAAGGCGCAAGUCGCCAGAAGAGGGAUCCGCGGCCGAUUAGCUUGUUGGCGAGGUAAUGGCUCACCAAGGCAUUGAUCGGUAGCCGGACUGAGAGGUUGGCCGGCCACACUGGAACUGAGACACGGUCCAGACUCCUACGGGAGGCAGCAGUGGGGAAUCUUGCACAAUGGACGAAAGUCUGAUGCAGCAACGCCGCGUGGGGGAUGAAGCUUUUCGGAGUGUAAACCCCUUUCGACCCGGAAGAAUGCCCGCAAGGGUUUGACGGUACGGGUAUAAGAAGCCCCGGCUAACUACGUGCCAGCAGCCGCGGUAAUACGUAGGGGGCCAGCGUUGCUCGGAAUUACUGGGCGUAAAGGGUCUGUAGGCGGUGCGGCAAGUCGAUAGUGAAAUCCCUAGGCUUAACCUAGGGGCUGCUAGCGAAACUGCCGUGCUAGAGUGUGAGAGAGGCGAGUGGAAUUACGGGGUGUAGCGGUGAAAUGCGUAGAUAUCCCGUAGGAACUUCCGGAG